CCUACGGGGGGCAGCAGUGAGGAAUAUUGGUCAAUGGACGAGAGUCUGAACCAGCCAAGUAGCGUGAAGGAUGACUGCCCUAUGGGUUGUAAACUUCUUUUAUAAAGGAAUAAAACGAGGCACGUGUGCCUUUUUGCAUGUACUUUAUGAAUAAGGAUCGGCUAACUCCGUGCCAGCAGCCGCGGUAAUACGGAGGGUCCGGGCGUUAUCCGGAUUUAUUGGGUUUAAAGGGAGCGUAGAUGGGUUGUUAAGGCAGGUGUGAAAGGUUGCGGCUCAACCGUAAAAUUGCAAUUGAUACUGGCCGUCUUGAGUAAAGUUGAGGUAGGCGGAAUUCGUGGUGUAGCGGUGAAAUGCUUAGAUAUCACGAAGAACCCCGAUUGCGAAGGCAGCAUACGAAACUGUUACUGACAUUGAUGCUCGAAAGUGUGGGUAUCAAACAGGAUUAGAUACCCGUGUAGUC
rnacentral:rRNA from 1 species